rnacentral:tRNA from 1 species
GGAGCUGUGCCUGAAUAAAAGGGUCACUUUGAUAGAGUGAACUAUGAGGGUUAAAAUCCCCCCAACUCCU